rfam:Thermoactinomyces sp. DSM 45891 genome assembly, contig: Ga0066384_106
UCUGGUGAUGAUGGCGGAGGGGAUCCACUCGUUCCCAUCCCGAACACGACCGUUAAGCCCUCCAGCGCCGAUGGUACUUGGACCGCAGGGUCCUGGAAGAGUAGGACGUCGCCAGGC